rnacentral:lncRNA from 10 species
GGACACGAUCUGACUCCUAUAAGGGCCAUAUUCAAAAAGUGGUGAUUGCAUCCUUUGAAAGCCUGUUUGCAUAGCAGACAAUGAAGCUGAGCAGAGAAAAACAAGAUGAGAGACAGAUGGAGUAGGAGACCUGAGAAGAUGGCUUGAGUCCAUGAAUUCUGGUGUUCCCUAGGCCACAUUUGCCCCCAUCCUUCCCAGAUUUUACUUUCUACUCUUGUCAGUCAUAUCUGCAAGGCUGACAGUUACCAGGGGCUGUGGCCAGGCAUGAGGGAGAAUGUGUCAUUGCUGGCUGCGUUGGUCAUAGCAACGUGUCUGCCUCAGAACAGAUCCAGCAUGGAUGAGCAAACAGAAAAAUGUGUAAGAAGGCUUGUGACUGAAACAGACCAAGGACUUCUCCUAUGGAGAAUGCAGCAAGAAAAUACCAUCUUGAAGCAGAGAGCAGCGCUCAUCAGGCAUCAGUCCUUCUGGAGCCUUGAUCUUGGACCUCCCAGCUCCAAAAUAAUAAGUAAUAAAUUGUUAUUGCUUAUAAAUU